rnacentral:rRNA from 1 species
GCUCAGGCAAACACAUAUCCUCGGUAAAGGAACUCGGCAAAUUACUCCUGUACCUUUGGAAGAAGGGAGCCCAUUUUUUAAAACUAUACAUUUUUUGUUUUUUCUUAAAAAAUGGGGUCACAAAAAAGGGAUGGGGAACUGUUUAGCAAAAACACAGGACUUUGCAACGUAGAAAUACUAAGUAUAAAGUCUGACGCCUGCCCAGUGCCGGAAGAUAAGAAUUUGUUGUGAAAGCAACAACUCUGAAGGACCGGUGAACGGCAGCCCUAACUCUAAGGGUUCUAAGGUAGCGAAAUUCCUUGUCGAAUAAUUGUCGACCCGCAUGAAUGGCGUAAUCACCCAUCCGCUGUCUCUACUGAGGUGUGGGCGAAUUUGACAUUCUCGUGAAGAGGCGAGAACACUGCCACGGGACAAUGAGACCCUAUGCACCUUUACUCUAAGCGAAAAUUGCUUUUUUAAAAAUUCUUUUUCAGCAUAGGUGGGAGUAUUCUAAAAAGUACACCAGUGAGAUACCACCAUUGAUUCAUUAAAAAGCCUUUCUAUUGACUGUUAAAAAAUAGAAAUCUUUUCGCUUGGGAGUUUGUCUGGGGCGGAAGCCUCCAAAAAAAUAUCGGGGGCGUGCCAAGGUAUGGAUAAACUGUUUUUGCGGUUUAGAGUCUGACAACCCAGAAACCAUGCCUGACUGUUAGGCCUACAAGCCAAGCAGGGUGUUUUUCAUAUAAGGAAUAAACACAUUCCAAACCUUUUGUUCUAUCGAACAAAAGUGUCUAAAGACCCUUUUGGAAUUACGAAAGUAUGCGGUAGUGAACCAGCACUCUGGAGUGGAAAGAGUGUUGAUCAACGGAUCAAAGGUACGCUAGGGAUAACAGG